GAUGCAAACUGCGAAUACCGGAGAAUGUUAUCACGGGAGACACACGGCGGGUGCUAACGUCCGUCGUGAAGAGGGAAACAACCCAGACCGCCAGCUAAGGUCCCAAAGUCAUGGUUAAGUGGGAAACGAUGUGGGAAGGCCCAGACAGCCAGGAUGUUGGCUUAGAAGCAGCCAUCAUUUAAAGAAAGCGUAAUAGCUCACUGGUCGAGUCGGCCUGCGCGGAAGAUGUAACGGGGCUAAACCAU
rnacentral:rRNA from 1 species